rnacentral:rRNA from 1 species
GACGAACGCUGGCGGCGUGCCUAAUACAUGCAAGUCGAACGCAGUGGGGACGGGUGAGUAACACGUGGGUAACCUCCCAUCAGAGGGGAUAACACUUUGAAACAGGUGCUAAACCGAUACUGAUGGAUGGACCCGCGGUGGAUUAGCUAGUUGGUGAGGUAACGGCUCACCAAGGCCACGAUGCAUAGCCGCCCUAAGAGGUGGAUCGGCCGCACUGUGACUGUGCCACGGCCCAAACUCCUUCGGGAGGCAGCAGUAGAGAAUCUUCGGCUAUGGACGAACGUCUGACUGAGCAACGCCGCGUGAGUGAAGAGGGUUUUCGGAUCGUAAAACUCUGUUGUUAGAGAAGCGGUAUCUAACCAGAAAGCCACGGCUAACUACGUGCCAGCAGCCGCGGUAAUAC